rnacentral:rRNA from 1 species
AGAGUUUGAUCAUGGCUCAGAACGUACGCUGGCGGCACGCCUAACACAUGCAAGUCGAACGAAGUAGCAAUACUUAGUGGCAGACGGGUGAGUAACAUGUGGGUAUCUACCCUUUGGCCUGGAAUAACACGAGGAAACUUGUGCUAAUACCGGAUAAGUCUUUACGGAGAAAGCUUUAUGCACCAUUGGAUGAGCCCGCACUUGAUUAGUUUGUUGGUAGGGUAAUGGCCUACCAAGACUAUGAUCAAUAGCUGAUUUGAGAGGAUGAUCAGCCACAUUGGGACUGAGACACGGCCCAAACUCCUACGGGAGGCAGCAGUGGGGAAUCUUGCACAAUGGAGGAAACUCUGAUGCAGCGAUGCCGCGUGAGUGAAGAAGGCCUUUGGGUUGUAAAGCUCUUUCGUCGGGGAAGAAAAUGACUGUACCCGAAUAAGAAGGUCCGGCUAACUUCGUGCCAGCAGCCGCGGUAAUACGAAGGGACCUAGCGUAGUUCGGAAUUACUGGGCUUAAAGAGUUCGUAGGUGGUUGAAAAAGUUGGUGGUGAAAUCCCAGAGCUUAACUCUGGAACUGCCAUCAAAACUUUUCAGCUAGAGUAUGAUAGAGGAAAGCAGAAUUUCUAGUGUAGAGGUGAAAUUCGUAGAUAUUAGAAAGAAUACCAAUUGCGAAGGCAGCUUUCUGGAUCAUUACUGACACUGAGGAACGAAAGCAUGGGUAGCGAAGAGGAUUAGAUACCCUCGUAGUCCAUGCCGUAAACGAUGUGUGUUAGACGUUGGAAAUUUAUUUUCAGUGUCGCAGGGAAACCGAUAAACACACCGCCUGGGGAGUACGGCCGCAAGGUUAAAACUCAAAGGAAUUGACGGGGACCCGCACAAGCGGUGGAGCAUGUGGUUUAAUUCGA